rnacentral:rRNA from 1 species
AGAGUUUGAUCAUGGCUCAGGACGAACGCUGGCGGCAGGCCUAACACAUGCAAGUCGAACGAGAAGUUGAUCUUCGGAUUGAUGGACAGUGGCGGACGGGUGAGUAACGCGUGGGUACUUGCCUCUCGGUACGGGACAACCCCGGGAAACUGGGGCUAAUACCGUAUAUACCGACCUUGGUGGUUCUUGGUCGGGAAAGAUUUAUCGCCGAGAGAUAGACCCGCGUCCGAUUAGCUAGUUGGUGUGGUAACGGCGCACCAAGGCUUCGAUCGGUAGCUGGUUUGAGAGGAUGAUCAGCCACACUGGGACUGAGACACGGCCCAGACUCCUACGGGAGGCAGCAGUGGGGAAUAUUGGACAAUGGGCGCAAGCCUGAUCCAGCCAUGCCGCGUGAGUGAAGAAGGCCCUAGGGUUGUAAAACUCUUUCACCGAUGAAGAUAAU